GGAUCUCAAAUCAGACAAGAUGACCCGCUGAAUUUAAGCAUAUAACUAAGCGGAGGAAAAGAAACUAACAAGGAUUCCCCUAGUAGCGGCGAGCGAAGCGGGAACAGCCCAAGAUGAAAAUCCCUUCGGGGAGUUGUAGUCUGAGUGUCCUUGGGUGGGUCAGUGCGGGCAAGUCUUCUGGAAUGAAGCGCCAUGGAGGGUGAGAGCCCCGUCCAUCCCGCACAGGAUCCAUUCGUACAAGGACGCUUCAACCGAGUCGGGUAGCUUGGGAAUGCUGCUCUAAUUGGUGGUAAAUCUCAUCAAAGGCUAAAUAGUGGUGGGAGACCGAUAGCGAACAAGUACCGUGAGGGAAAGAUGGAAAGAACUUUGAAAAGAGAGUGAAAAGCACUUGAAACCGUCACGGGGGAAGCGGAUUGCGUGAGUGAUGGUGUCGCUUGUUCAGCGCUUUAUUGCGUGCAUUCUGGCGGCGCCGUGCCGGCGUGGCUGGCUGGACUGUGAUUUUGACAGUCUCGGCUGGUGAGGGCUCCCUCGUAUGAGGUGAGGACGCGGGCAAAAUGACGC
rnacentral:rRNA from 2 species